rnacentral:rRNA from 1 species
UACGUAGGGUGCGAGCGUUAAUCGGAAUUACUGGGCGUAAAGCGUGCGCAGGCGGUUUGUUAAGACAGUUGUGAAAUCCCCGGGCUUAACCUGGGAACUGCAAUUGUGACUGGCAGACUAGAGUGAGGCAGAGGGGGGCGGAAUUCCUGGUGUAGCAGUGAAAUGCGUAGAUAUCAGGAGGAACACCGAUGGCGAAGGCAGCCCCCUGGGCCAUCACUGACACUCAUGCACGAAAGCGCGGGGAGCGAACAGGAUUAGAUACCCUGGUAGUCCGCGCCGUAAACGAUGGGCACUAGCUGUGAGAGCCUUCCACGGUUCUCGCGACGCAGCAAACGCAUUAAGUGCCCCGCCUGGGGAGUACGAUCGCAAGAUUAAAACUCAAAGGAAUUGACGGGGCCCCGCACAAGCAGCGGAGCAUGCGGCUUAAUUCGACGCAACGCGAAGAACCUUACCAAGGCUUGACAUAUAGCGAAGAGUGGCAGAGAUGUCAUGUCCGCAAGGGCGCUAUACAGGUGGUGCAUGGUUGUCGUCAGCUCGUGUCGUGAGAUGUUGGGUUAAGUCCCGCAACGAGCGCAACCCUCGUUCUGUGUUACCAGCAUUCAGUUGGGGACUCACAGGAGACUGCCGGGGUCAACUCGGAGGAAGGUGGGGAUGACGUCAAAUCAUCAUGCCCCUUAUGUCUUGGGCUGCACGCAUGCUACAAUGGCCGGUACAAAGUGCUGCGAAAUCGUAAGAUUUAGCGAAUCACAUAAAGCCGGUCUCAGUUCGGAUUGAGGUCUGCAACUCGACCUCAUGAAGUCGGAGUUGCUAGUAAUCGUAGAUCAGCAACGCUACGGUGAAUACGUUCCCGGGGCU